rnacentral:rRNA from 1 species
GAUGAACGCUGGCGGCGUGCCUAAUACACGCAAGUCGAGCGAACAGAUAAGGAGCUUGCUCCUUUGACGUUAGCGGCGGACGGGUGAGUAACACGUGGGUAACCUACCUAUAAGACUGGGAUAACUUCGGGAAACCGGAGCUAAUACCGGAUAAUAUUUCGAACCGCAUGGUUCGAUAGUGAAAGAUGGUUUUGCUAUCACUUAUAGAUGGACCCGCGCCGUAUUAGCUAGUUGGUAAGGUAACGGCUUACCAAGGCGACGAUACGUAGCCGACCUGAGAGGGUGAUCGGCCACACUGGAACUGAGACACGGUCCAGACUCCUACGGGAGGCAGCAGUAGGGAAUCUUCCGCAAUGGGCGAAAGCCUGACGGAGCAACGCCGCGUGAGUGAUGAAGGUCUUCGGAUCGUAAGACUCUGUUAUUAGGGAAGAACAUACGUGUAAGUAACUGUGCACGUCUUGACGGUACCUAAUCAGAAAGCCACGGCUAACUACGUGCCAGCCGCCGCGGUAA